GACGAACGCUGGCGGCGUGCCUAAUACAUGCAAGUCGAACGCAGUGGGGACGGGGGAGUAACACGUGGGUAACAUCCCAUAAGAGGGGAUAACACUUGGAAACAGGUGCUAAACCGGUACUGAUGGAUGGACCCGCGGUGCAUCAGCUAGUUGGGGAGGUAACGGCUCACCAAGGCCACGAUGCAUAGCCGACCUGAGAGGGUGAUCGGCGUCACUGUGACUGAGACACGGCCCAGACUCCUACGGGAGGCAGCAGGAGGGAAUCUGCGGCAAUGGACGAAAGUCUGACCGAGCAACGCCGCGGUAAUAC
rnacentral:rRNA from 1 species